AUGACGUCGAUAUUCGACGUCAUAAACACCAUCAAGUUUGGUCUUUAUGACGUUGAAUAUCGACAUCAUAAACACCAAACUUGAUGGUGUUUAUGACGUCGAAUAUCAACGUCAU
rnacentral:miRNA from 1 species